GGAGUCUGGGCCGUAUCUCAGUCCCAAUGUGGCCGUUGAACCUCUCAGUCCGGCUACUGAUCGUCGCCUUGGUAGGCCGUUACCCCACCAACUAGCUAAUCAGACGCAAGCCCAUCUAUUAGCGGAUUACUCCUUUCCCACUGGAACCAUGUGGUUCUUAUGGCAUAUGCGGUAUUAGCAACGAUUUCUCGCUGUUAUUCCCCUCUAAUAGGCAGGUUGCUUACGUGUUACUCACCAGUCCGCCACUAAAGCCAUUGUUGUAAGUCAAUCUUCACUCCCUUUGAACAAGUUCUCUGUUCAUGUCAACAUCAUUACAACGACUUCCGUUCGACUUGCAUGUCUUAUGUGCGCCGCCAGCGUUUAUCCUGAGCCAUGAUCAAACUACU
rnacentral:rRNA from 1 species